UGUCUGUCUCAGAAACUUGAUUCCUAAGCUCAAUUACAUUCAUAAAACAUUCACAGACAUACCAAGCACAAAAGAAAUGCAAGCUUAUCCAGGCACCGUGAGCAUUUAACCCCAAGGUAUCUCAUUUCUAAAAUAUUGGUGGAACUAUCAUUCGACUCAAGUAUACAAACUGAGGAUAUUUAAUCAAAGAUUUUACAAAAUAUCAAUUCCUAUCAAUCCAGAUUUAUUUUAUACAUUUUAGCAGAUGUCAGUCAGUCACUGAAACUAAGACACACUUGCCAUUUGCUGAGAGACCAGUUGUGAAUACUAUCACUUCUCAACUGCAGCCUCCAUCUUACCUGGGAAAGAUCUCUAUCAUCAUAGGACAAGAAAGCAUAGGAUGUCCUCAGACUAAAAUAUCACUCUAUGGACAAAAGCAUUCAUAUCUCUAAUAUAUGUCUCAAUGCCUAUUUAUUAUCAGUACUGGGAUUUAGUUGGGUACCUGAGGUAGAAAUUGAUUGAACGGCUGAAAUAAAUGCAUAAAAUAUGCAGGAACCCUUACAGCUAUUACAACAAGGUGGAGUAAGAAGACAGCAGGAAUAAUUGGAAACAGGCAAAUCCCUACUUACAGUACCCAGAAGAUACACAUUGCUAUAAAGCAAAUUCUUUCAUACUAAACUAAUCUCCAUCUCUGCUUAGUCUCAGAAAUCAACCGAAGGGUGGCUUCACUGAGGCUUUUGACAGACUAGAAUGGAUUCACUGUUAAAUAUGAAAACCUAUCAUUUUUAUUAUUUGAAUCAUCCAUCAUAGACAGGCCAUAUAUAGACAUUCUUGAGGAUCUUCUUUUUUCAUAAAUGGUAUUUAUGAUUUAAUUUAAUAUUUAAUAUUUCCUUUCUCAUCAUUGUUAAAGAAGGUUUAAGAACAAAGACUUCAAUUAGUCUUUUAAGAAACUUUUAUUAAGGUCCAUUCAAACAGAGGCAAAAUAUUGCCUGGUUUUUCUGCAUGGAUAUGAUUAGAAGGGGAUCAAAAAGUCAAGAUAUGUAUACCCAACCAUGCAAUAGAAGCUCUUCCUCUCUUUAUGUGUUGCAUGUGUGACACUUAUAAACAAGGGGCAGGUUUCUAUAGCAUGGUUGUCAUCUUAAAUUUUUUAACGCUCAUCCAUGGAUGGAUUCUCUAUUUCCUUAAUAGAAAUUACUCCAAUCAAGUAAUGGUUAAUGGAAGUAUAACUAUAUAUAAGGGCAACUUUCUCAUAAAGUUUUGGUCAUCUCUAUAGGAUGUAGUUGUGGACACUAUGACAUAAUAUAUCCAGUUUUAUUUUAUACAUAUAACAUCAAAGUAAAUGCUAUGGGAUUUUUUCCCUCAGAUACUAUUAACAUUUGCUUUGUUAUAUAUGGAUGAAAUCAUUGUGCAAAGCCAUCUGCAGUACAGAAUGAUAGCCUCAUUACUUGCAGAUUCUCUUUUUCUCUUUUCCAUAUUUUAUUCCAAAAAAGGAAAGGGAAUUUUGAAGAGAUAUAUGGAAUACUGUUAUGGUGGUUGUAAACAUACAAACUGAAAUUAAUGAAAGAUGGAAACAUUGUGGGCCAGGAGGAAAACAGUUUGUUCCAGACAGGGUUAUACUACUUGGCUAGUGUAGGAUAGAGAUAGAGAUAACAGUAAUACCGGACAAUCUAUGCAGAAGUAUGUGUGCAGGGAGAGACGAAAGUGAAUGUUUUUUUUAGUAUUUACAUUAAGUCAGAAGGCAAAUAUUGCCUUAAAAAUCAGACCUUGGAUCAGAUUAUCAGAAGAUUCAUAUGCUUCACAUGAAAGGACUUUGAACAUCUGAAACCCUUGCAUUUGGUCCUAAAAUAAAUAUAAAAAACAUACAUAGAAGAAAUAAGCAUAAAUAAUAAAAAUAAUAAUUACUAAUAAUAAGCUUUUUUUGAAGUUUCAGAAGAAAGUAAUUCUAGAUCUUUUUGAAUAAAAAAUAUUUUGACCCCUUCUUUAUUUACUUUUUAAAGACAGUCAUGAAUAUUAUACUUUUAAAAUUUGGAUAAUAUAUGUAAUUAUCUUCCAUUAUGCCAUGCUUUAUUUUAUUAAUUUUUAAGGAACACAAAAAUAAAAAUUUGGAUUUUACCCCAAAUCUUAUGUUCAAAUUUGUAAGGAAAAGAAGAAAAGGG